rnacentral:rRNA from 1 species
GAUGAACGCUAGCGGCAGGCUUAACACAUGCAAGUCGAGGGGCAGCACGGGUAGCAAUACCUGGUGGCGACCGGCGGAAGGGUGCGUAACGCGUGAGCAACAUGCCCUAUACAGGGGAAUAAACCAGGGAAACUUGGUCUAAUGCCCCAUAGCAAUAAGAUAAGGCAUCUUAUUUUAUUUAAAGCUUCGGUGGUAUAGGAUUGGCUCGCGUGACAUUAGCUGGAUGGUGGGGUAACGGCCCACCAUGGCGAUGAUGUCUAGGGGUUCUGAGAGGAAGACCCCCCACACUGGGACUGAGACACGGCCCAGACUCCUACGGGAGGCAGCAGUGAGGAAUAUUGGACAAUGGAUGGAAAUCUGAUCCAGCCAUGCCGCGUGCAGGAAGACGGCCCUAUGGGUUGUAAACUGCUUUUCUACGGGAGCAAUAAGGUCUACGCGUAGACUGAUGAGAGUACCGUAGGAAUAAGCAUCGGCUAACUCCGUGCCAGCAGCCGCGGUAAUACGGAGGAUGCGAGCGUUAUCCGGAUUUAUUGGGUUUAAAGGGUGCGUAGGCGGCUUUUUAAGUCAGCGGUGAAAUUUUGCAGCUUAACUGUAACAGUGCCGUUGAUACUGGGGAGCUAGGAUUUGGUUGCUGUGGGUGGAAUGUGUGGUGUAGCGGUGAAAUGCUUAGAGAUCACACAGAAUAUCGAUUGCGAAGGCAGCUCACAAAGCCAAGAUUGACGCAGAGGCACGAAAGUGUGGGGAUCAAACAGGAUUAGAUACCCUGGUAGUCCACACUGUAAACGAUGAUAACUCGCUGUCGGCGAUACACAGUCGGUGGCCAAGCGAAAGCGAUAAGUUAUCCACCUGGGGAGUACGACCGCAAGGUUGAAACUCAAAGGAAUUGACGGGGGCCCGCACAAGCGGAGGACAUGUGGUUUAAUUCGAUGAUACGCGAGGAACCUUACCGG